UUCGAAGGUGUGGUCACUCUGUAAUAAUACAAUCAAUCGUUAUUACUUAUUGUUUAAUUAUUCGAUAAAUAUUCGUAUCUUUAAAAAUAUCAUACGAGAGAGGAAUGAUUUUUCGAUAAAAAUAAAAAAAAAUUGUAAAUAUUGCAAAAUAAUUUACACAGUAUGGCUCGUCAUGGUAUAAUAUACGAUUUUGAUUUUCUUAUUGAAAGUUACUAUAAUAGCAGUACAAGCAUAAAGCCCUCUGGCAGCAAAGUCGGUCUCUGUAGUGUAAUGUUUAUAUUAGCUGAUGCAUCGUUCAAUUCAUCCAUCGUUUCAUAAUGUUUUUUCUUUUUUUUUUUCAUGAAGAUUAAUAAUUUUAUAGAUUAAUUGAAACAUUGAAUCGAAAUUAAUAAAGAAUUAACACGAGAUGCAUAUGUAUAUGUAUGUAUAUCAUCAGGUGAAAAAUGAUUUCGAUGCCCAUCUCCUUCGAAACUUUUUGCCACGUGCAUCGGGGAAAAAAAUUUUCCCCCAUCUAUCUGAAGAGUAAUGCAAAUGAAAGCUCCCCUCUUAUUCGCCUUCUCUAUCUCGAGAGGCCUUAUAAUCGUGUCAUGAGGAGAAAGCGAAUUGAUGAAAUCAGAAAUGCAGAUCAUGACUGCACAAUUGAGAUUAAUCGUGUACGUGUACAAAUAUAGGAUGGAAACAAGAAAAAACACAUUUGUGCAUUUCUUCUAUGAAAUUUUCUAAAUUUUUUCUUCUUUUCUAUAUGAAUACAUCAAUGGUUAAAAUGCGUCUAAAGAGGGUGAAAAAGGGUUUCAGUCUUUUAAAAGGGACCCAUUUUUUUCUACCAGCCAGAAAGAGAACACUCUUUACUUACCCAUUCUUCACUGUUUAUGGACUAGCCUGCAUUUUCUCCAGAGAUCCACUGUAAAAAGUGAAACGAACUUGGCGCCAUUAUAUCGCUACUCAACGUUAUUCUAUACUUUUCUGAGAAAAAAGUUUCACAAGCGAAUCGACUGGCGUCCGUUUUCUCACGUUUUCCGCUCGAAAAGUUACGAUCACUCAGCCGAGACCCACCUCAUAGUUUAAUCCGGGGUGCACUUGAUUCGAGAGAUCAUGUGCAACCUGUGCCUAUAUACAGGGGUAACCGAACUCCAAAAACACCCCCAAGGGUCCAGGGCAUUCGGCACAACGUUUAAAAUAAAUUUCAAUUCGAAGCCAGAAAGGGGAGUGUGUGUACGUGUGUGUGUAUCACUUUCAUUAGACCUCUGUCGUGUUUAACGAGCUAUUGAUAUCUUCCACUCAUUGGGCAGUACCACUGUAUAAGUAGAUUGGUAUGGGCGUAUACGUGUACGAGCUUGCCACGGUAAUCGUUACUAUCCCCUUUUCCAGAGCUCCCUUUUUCAACCAAGGAAAUCACCAUAUGUAUGCGAUGCGUGUGUUAAAGGCGCGGUGAAACCUAUAUAGCGAUACUCCAUUCUAAAGUUUUGCCCUAUGGGAAAGUUCAGAUGCUCGGAUAAUUGCGGUUAAACCAGAAAAUUAGGUUCAUGACGAAUCACUGAUCAUCGAGGGCGAGUUGUGGGAAGUUUUACAAGAUGACCAUUCUUUCCUCGUUCCUCCUUGUGGGAUAUAUCGAACGUUGUAUCAGCUUGAUAGAAUUAUACAGAGUUUUAAAAUUUAAACAGUAGAUGGAUAAACUUGUUCGUCCUUUCUACGUUCUUUUUUGAAUUAAUUUCAAGCAUUUUCCUCGGGAACAGUUCAGUUUCCUUCGACAAUACAAAUUCAAGAGGACAAAGCACAGGAAUUCUUUGAAAGACCAAUGCGCAAGGUUGGAGCUCGAAGUUUUAUCCCCCUUGCAGUGAAUAAGAAACGUAUGAAAAAAGGGGCCAGGAAGUGUGUACACCCACAAGGAUCCGGUUCUGUUGUGAAACAACCAUGCCAAUUGUUCUUGUUUUUUUUAUUUUUUUGUUUUCUUCUUCUUUCUUAUUUUUACAAUAAAACUAAAAUUAAAUAUGUAAAUGUACGUAUAUAUGCAUAAUAAGUAUACAUAUGUAUAAAGAUGCACACAAAGAACAUAUAGAACGAAAGAGGUUAACAAUGGAAGAAAUUUGUCUUAUAUACAAUUGAGUAUACCGUAUCGAAUCGUACCUUCACAAAUUAUAUAAGUUGUAAAAGAAUCUUAUUGACCUAUUAGAAUGCAAGGAGAGAAGAGACUAUAUGGCAGUUGGCCUCGAAGAAGUUGUGGAUCCUUCCGUCUCUAUAGAAUCCUAUAUAAAUCGUGGGCUGUGGCUUUCUAUGGAGGAACACGUGCCAGCCACAUGUUGCACAAAACGAAUCCUUCAGUGAUCCUUUCGAAUAUCCGAAGCGUAAAGUCGCAGUUACAAAGGAGUUUUAGAAGCCCAUAAAUGAUUCUCUUUCGGACGAAGGAUAUGAAACAUCGACAGAUGUUUUCCGAAUCUCUUCAAAGAUGUUGAAUUUCCUAUAUACGAACGUUUCAAAAGGAAUAUGUAUGGAAUAUUGUAAAAUAUCGAUAAUUUCAAUCAAUCUAACCUAAAAUAACCUAAUCUUUUUAGUCAUUUCAGAAAAUUUUCAAUGUUUUUUAUUCUAAUCUUUUUUUAAAUAUUUCUUACGAUUACUUACAUAUUAUUUAACCAAUUAAUUGAUUAUUCUUUUCAGUAAUAAUUAAUAUCUUUAUAAUUUUUAAUUUGAAUUUUACUGUAUUUCAAAUACAAUUAUAAUACAUGCACAUAUAAUCUAACAAGUUACGAUCAAGGAACGGGACGAUUGUCGAGAACACGUGGUUGCUGUGACCAUCUGUUGGCAUACUGCUUCAACCAUCUUAUCCUUAGAAACCUCGCAAGUUCUUUUCUCCUGCAUCCAUCAACAUUAACCAGCAUCAAUCUUUUUGAAAUUUUAUUUUAUUUAUAAAAUAUAUAUUUAUUAAACUGCAAGGAAAUUUUAAUGAAGGAAAUAAAGUAUCGAUUAGACGAGAAUACAAAAAUAAAAGAAAAUGGAACAGAUAUGAUAGGAAAAUGAGACGAAAGAAACCCUUUAGAAAUUUAUUAUUAAGAAAUUCAACUUUCUAUCAUCUUUAUCGUGAAAUUACCACAAAGAAGACGAGGUGUAAACUUUCCCAGUAACACGUUCAAAUAUUUAUCUUAAAGAACGACUUAUGCUCUCAAUAAUGAGCAACGAAUUUUUAAGAGGAUACGAUAGAACGGAUAUGUUUUCAAGAAGAAGUAACCGGCACGAUUUCAAAGUGUAGUAAAAGCUGGAGGAUCCGUUUGAGCGGACCGCUUUGUGUCCCGCGAUAAAAAGUGUUUCAAGCAGGUAAAACAUUCCUACUGAAACGAUUCUACCUGAUCCACCUGGCUUUCACACUACAUUUUCGACCACAGUUCCCUUCUAUGUACAUUCUUAAGAAGAACAACACAUUCGUACAUAUUUGAUUGAUUAUCUUCGAAAGAAAAUCCGAGGAGGAUCUUAAGUUGACCGAGAGUAUUGAAGAAAGUCGUCAAAAUUGCAGCUUAAGAACCUAAUAUCGACGGCUUUUCGAGAAGAGGCUUGGAUAUUACAUAUCACUAUAAAGUGCUCUUUCUAAAAUAUCUUCUUCCGACAAGCGAUAUUCCUCUUAGUUUUUUUUUUUUUUUUGAAGUAAACAUUUAGUCCAUUUGUUUCACUGCAUAUCAUAUUUCUAGAUUAGAUUAAUAUUAAUGAAAUCAAUUACACUUUGAGAGAGAGAGAGAGAGAGAGAUUCAAAAUUCAAAAAUAAUAGUUUUGCAUGCAAUCGCAUAAGAAAUCAAUUCUUCCAGAUUCUGGAAAAGAAACGUGACUAUCGUAGAUACAUAUUGUAUCAUAGAUAAUUUUGAAGGGCAGGAAAUGCACGAUGAGACUGUUUCUCCGCUGGACAUCCGGUUCACCACGCGCACUGCGUGUGUCUUAUUUGACGUCACAACACACACCUGCUUCCUCACAGCUGUUCUCCAAUCCGUGGUGGGAAGUAUCGCAGUGGGAGCUACGACCACCCCUCGACAAAACGUAUUUAAGAAUAUUUGAAGAGAAAACAUUGAAAUAUUUUUAAUAUAUAUAUAUAAACAUCAAUAGAUGGAUAAUGAAUGUUCUUGUAAGUUUGUAUAUUUUACAAUUAUCAUUAGCAUAAAAGCAAGUACACUAUACUUCCAUAUGUAAGUACUAACCUGUAACGCUGUGUUACAGGUUGAACAAUCCCCUAUAUAUUGUAACAUUACGAUUAUAUCUACACUUGUUUAGUAUUUCUUUUUUUAGAAUUCCUUUUUUAUAUAUAUAUAUAUAUAUAUAUACAUUUCGAAAAUAAUUCCAAGCAUGCAAGAAGAAAUAAGAAAUGACAGGAAGAAGAAGAGGGAAGAAGAAAAAAGAAAGUAAAGAAGAAGAUAGAAGGAAAAAUGGAGGACAAUGAUCCUCAGAAACGGAGAGAACAUCUGCUCUGUGGGCCCAGAUCGUAGCAUGUCCUCCUUCAAUAAGAGGCGAUCGCGUCGUGAAACUUGUCCCACCUCACCACGCAUAGCCAGAUUCUUUAACGACGGACAAAAUUGAGGCACGUGCACCGAGUUGCACGCGGGCGAUCUCUCUUUUCGACCAAAGAGAAAAAAAACAGCAUGCUCACGCGCUCCCGAUCAUCGUCUGGCUACAGAAAUUCACUGCCCCAACGAAUUAUUAUAGAUUAUCUAUAGAAUUAAUAAUAGAUAUCUUUUAAUAAUAAUAAUGAUAAUAAUAAUAAUAAUAAAAAUAAAAAAUAUCGAUGAAUAUGUAAUAUCGACCUAACUUUUUAAAAUGGUUAAAACACUUCAAAGGAACAGAAAAACUUUAGGGAUUAGAUCAUGCAGCCUUCUCGGAUUCCAGCUAUCUAACAGCUGCUCUUCGUAUCUCGUCUUUUUUCUAUAUCGUGUUUUUCCAUGUGUAUGAACACUUAAUGGAGUUUUUUUGAUUUGAAAAUUUAUCGUGUUAAAUCCUUUACAUUCGAAAUGUUAAAAUUAUACUUUUAUAUUAUAUAAAAAUAAAAGAA
rnacentral:lncRNA from 1 species